ACCAAUUGUUGCCUCGGCGGAUCAGCCCGCUCCCGGUAAAACGGGACGGCCCGCCAGAGGACCCACAAACUCUGUUUCUAUAUGUAACUUCUGAGUAAAACCAUAAAUAAAUCAAAACUUUCAACAACGGAUCUCUUGGUUCUGGCAUCGAUGAAGAACGCAGCAAAAUGCGAUAAGUAAUGUGAAUUGCAGAAUUCAGUGAAUCAUCGAAUCUUUGAACGCACAUUGCGCCCGCCAGUAUUCUGGCGGGCAUGCCUGUUCGAGCGUCAUUUCAACCCUCAAGCCCAGCUUGGUGUUGGGACUCGCGAGUCAAAUCGCGUUCCCCAAAUUGAUUGGCGGUCACGUCGAGCUUCCAUAGCGUAGUAGUAAAACCCUCGUUACUGGUAAUCGUCGCGGCCACGCCGUUAAACCCCAACUUCUGAAUGUUGACCUCGGAUCAGGUAGGAAUACCCGCUGAACUUAAGCAUAUCAAUAA
rnacentral:rRNA from 1 species